AGGUCCCUUUCCCCUGGCACUGCUGUGGCUCUGAUCUGCCUCCCUGCCUUGUCCUGCAGGGUGACUCUGGUGUGCUUUGGGAGCCCUGGGAAUCACAGAGCUGCAGAAGCACUGGGGCUGGAGAAACCCUCUGGAACAUCCAGUCCAACCAUUCCCAGCCCUGCCCAUGUCCCCGGCUGCCACAUCCACAGGGCAGUGAAUCCCUCCAGGGAUGAGGACUCCAAACCUCCCAGGGCAGCUGUGCUGGGGCUGGGCAGCCCUUUUGGAUUGACAAUUGUCCCUGAUAUCCACCCUGAGCUGCCCUGGCCCCCGGCUGUCCCCUCCUGGCAGGAGCUGUGCAGAGCCUCAGGUCCCCUGAGCCUCCUGUGCUCCACCUCUGUGCUGAGGCUCACGGCCCAGGACUUCAACAGCCGUGAUUAAAAUAAAAGACCUCUGCUCCCUGCGAUCCCAUCCUGAGCUGCCACAGAGCAAGACCUGAUCCCUGCGAUGUGCUCUGGUCAGUGCUUCCCAAAAAAACCCCAAAUGCUGUUCUUCAUUUGGUCUCCUUUUAGUACAGACUCAGUGAGAAAUACCUCUGGCAGUAAGGGUGAGUAAAAUGUCUAAUUCCCCGUGCCCCAGAGCCUGCAGAGCCCUCCCCACUCUGUCCAUCCCAGCUGGGCAGGGGCAAGGCCAGGACCUGGGGCUUGGCUUUGCUGUGCCCCUCCAAACCCCACGGCUGAGCCCUCCUGCCAAGCAGCCUGGGUGGCAGCUUGGAGCCUGGAAAGUGCAGGGCCAGGGUGGAGGGCAGAGCUGAGCCCUGCAGGGCCUGGGGCUCCUGGACACAGGGAAUGCCCUGCUGCUGUCCCUCCCUCCUGGGCUCCAGCCCUGCUCCCCCCCUGGCCCCAGCAGCUCCUCGGGAAUCUGAGGGAAACUGGAGAGAAGAGAGACAAACCAGUGCCUCUGCUGGCUCAGCUCUUGGCCCGGGCAAAUCCAUUCUUUAUAAUUUAUCAAUCUCUGCCCUGCUCUGGCCCUGCCUCCUGUGUUUGACUGGUUUCCCCUUGCCCUGGUGGUGCUGGGCUCUCUCACAGGGUCAGGUGCAGAUGUUCAGCCCCACAAACACCUGGAAAUGCAGCCCAGCCUCUGGAGGACACAGAACGUGUAACGUUAUUUAUUGAGAGUAACACAUUGAUGUACUGCUUCAAACAAAUCUGUUACUCUACAAAUCGAGCAAAGAACCCUGAAAAUUAGCUGCUUUAUUAUAAAAUGAGGGAUGGAAGGAGCAGGCCCAGGAGAGGAUCUGAGGAAGGGCUGGUUCCGUGCCAGGAAGCUCCUGGAAGUGUUUGGAACCGGCUGUCCCUGCUGCUGAGCCACUCGCAGCCACAGGAGAACAGAACCAGUUUCUGGGGCAGUAAAAACGGGGAGGAAAACUGGCAUUUGUGGUGGGGCUGCUCUCUUUUCCUCCCAGAGCAAGGAUGAGGGCAGAGCUGAAGGCACAGCAGAGGGUCUGGCAGCGCUGCCCAGGGAUGUGUGCUGCUGCUGCACUGGAGCCCAGGCUGCAGGGCUCCCCACAAGCCAGGCACUGCUCCAGCCGUGCAGGGCAGGCAGGGCUGGCCGCAGCUCGGGGUGCUCUGGGGGUGCUGCCAGCCUGGCACGCCUGGGGGUGGGACAGGAGCAGCUCCAGGAGAGCUCAGAGCCCUGCCAGGCCUGGAGGGGCUGCAGGAGAGCUGCAGAGGGGCUGGGGACCAGGGAUGCUGUGCGGCCUCAGCCAGCUCCUGCACCUCCUGGCUUUGGCUUUGCCCUCUUCUUUCCUAAAACAUUUUGCCCUGUGGGGCUCCGCGGGGCUUUGGCACCCCCGGGAUUGGGAAUCUCACAGAGCACCCCCACCCUGUCUCUGUGAUGGCUCAGUGUCUGCUCAGACUCUCAUCAGCACAAAUUCUGCAUGAUUAGCUUGUAAUAAUCUGCAUGUCAUUAGCACAUUUUAAUUGUCAGGGCUUUGUGAACAAAAGGCUUCUGAGCACAGACAUAUUUCAGGGUUGGAUUUACAGUGAACAGCCUUAAAUAUUGGAUCUCAAUUUAAAGAAUAUUUUAGUUUCGAUGACAGAUGAGCCCCUAAUGAUUCACCUAAACAGGAGGAGAGUGCAGGCCCCUAAAACUGUGGAAUGUUAAUUAAAUGGAUGUUUUUAUACCACAACGUAUUUGGUUAUAUAAAUCAAAGAUUUAUUGGAUGUCUAUAAUGGACAGAAAUAAAACUUGAUUUAAAAUUCACAGAUUUACAUGUGAAAAAGAUGGAGGAAGCUCAUAAUUGGAACUAUAUUUUUUUUCUCUGCUGCUUUCUAGAACAGGGACAAUACAAGAGCUGCACUCAGCUCUCAAUCCCUAAAAUUGUAUCUGGUAUAAGAAGUCAGAAAAAAGUAAAUGGCAAAGAGACUCAGGGUUUCUGUCUGAUGGUCAUUCAUUCCCUUUGGGUGGGUCCUUCUGCACUGCUGCAAAUGGAGAUCAGCACCAGGACCCACAAGCCCUGGGAGCAUCCUGGUGGAUGCAGGAACAGCUCCAGCCCUGCCUGAGGCCAGGAGGAACUUGGGUUGUUCCUGGUUCACUCUGCAAAUAUCAAACCAGUGAAAUUAGAUCAUGGCUUAGGCUGGCCUAAGAGGAAAUGGGCUGAGUUCUCUUGCAGAAACAAAACAAAUGUUGUGCCUUCUUUUUUUCCUCUUUUGCAGCAUUUUGAGGAAAGACACAAAUCAAUGACAGGGAAAUUCUGAACUUAAGAACUGUUAAAAAAAACCCAACAAACCCCCUGCAGCCUUCCCAUGCUUAUUUCCCAGUAAUUCAUUUUUAAUCAAUUGUUGACCCUUAACCAAGAUGUUUUUACAUCUGGGUUUAAACAUUUCCUCUGCCUGAGGUGUGUGAAUGCAUUUCUACAUCAUCUCUCUGCACCCCCCAGCAAUGGGGGGUCUGGGAGGGGCUGGGCUGGAAUUCCCAGAGCCCAGCUCCUGGCUGGGUGUGUAAUCCCCUCUUUGGGGUGGGGAUCACCCCUGGCACUGCCCCAGGGCUGUCCCCAGAGGUGGUGGGCUCAGCAAACACCAAAGAUCCACAGCAGCCCCCAGUGAGCCCUCUC